rnacentral:siRNA from 1 species
AUAAGAUGCCGUUGGUAAC